AAAUCAGGCCCUGAUUAGAGGAGAAUCACCCACCUGGUGUCCCAGGUCUAAAUCAGGCCCUGAUUAGAGGAGAAUCACCCACCUGGUGUCCCAGGUCUAAAUCAGGCCCUGAUUAGAGGGGAAUCACCCACCUGGUGUCCCAGGUCUAAAUCAGGCCCUGAUUAGAGGGGAAUCACCCACCUGGUGUCCCAGGUCUAAAUCAGGUCCUGAUUAGAGGGGAAUCACCCACCUGGUGUCCCAGGUGUAAAUCAGGCCCUGAUUAGAGGGGAAUCACCCACCUGGUGUCCCAGGUGUAAAUCAGGCCCUGAUUAGAGGGGAAUCACCCACCUGGUGUCCCAGGUCUAAAUCAGGCCCUGAUUAGAGGAGAACAAUGGGAAAAAAGCAGUUGAACUGGCUUCGAGGUCCAGAUUUGAAUUUGAGCAAUAUAGCCUAUUCAUACAUAAUAAAUCGUUAUUACCAUGUUAUACGUUGUUUAUGCUGGAUGAUGUCAAUAAAGAACUUGAGAACCCA
ensembl:lncRNA